GAUGAUAAAUGGAUGGAUGAUGGAUGAUGUCACAGCUGUGGAAUAAUGUGGGCAGGGCUUCCCUGUUUGAGGCUAAUGAGUGAUUUAAAGUGUGCGUAGGUGUGCGGGGCAGUUAAAGUGCAGAGGAUGGGGAGCUGAACGAAUAUUUCAUGAACUGAGGUCAUUGUUAUCCGUGCUCAGGCUGCACGCUCACUGCAGGAUUCAUCUCAGAGCUCCAGGGUGAAAUUAAAAGAAGAAGACACGAGUUUGUCAGACAUCUGAAUGACUGUGUUUUAUGCUGCGGAGCUGGAGGAGCUUCGACCUCAGCUCGGCCGCUGAGCGACGGCGAAUCUGUCAGCAGCUGCGUCUCACCCUCGCGAGUUAUCUGCACGCUAAUGGGUUCAGUCAACGCCACAGUCGGGCCACGUGACUUUAGAUAAGAUCUGUCUUAUCUUCUCAUAUUAGUGUUCUGCAAAAAGCAUCGAUGUAAGUUUGAGCUCAAAUA